AGUGGGGGAUAACGUAGCGAAAGUUACGCUAAUACCGCAUACGCCCUGAGGGGGAAAGGAGGGGAUUGUAAGACCUUUCGCUUUCGGAGUGGCCGAUAUCAGAUUAGCUAGUUGGUGGGGUAAAGGCCCACCAAGGCGACGAUCUGUAGCGGGUCUGAGAGGAUGAUCCGCCACACUGGGACUGAGACACGGCCCAGACUCCUACGGGAGGCAGCAGUGGGGAAUUUUGGACAAUGGGGGCAACCCUGAUCCAGCCAUGCCGCGUGAGUGAAGAAGGCCUUCGGGUUGUAAAGCUCUUUCGGACGGAAAGAAAUCCUAUUCGCUAAUACCGGGUGGGGAUGACGGUACCGUAAGAAGAAGCACCGGCUAACUACGUGCCAGCAGCCGCGGUAAUACGUAGGGUGCGAGCGUUAAUCGGAAUUACUGGGCGUAAAGCGUGCGCAGGCGGUUUUGUAAGACAGAUGUGAAAUCCCCGGGCUUAACCUGGGAACUGCAUUUGUGACUGCAAGGCUAGAGUGCGGCAGAGGGGGGUAGAAUUCCA
rnacentral:rRNA from 1 species